rnacentral:rRNA from 1 species
CAGUCGCCGCGGUAAUACGAAGGGGGCUAGCGUUGUUCGGAUUUACUGGGCGUAAAGGGCGCGUAGGCGGACUGAUAAGUCAGGGGUGAAAUCCCAAGGCUCAACCUUGGAACUGCCUUUGAUACUGUUUGUCUUGAGCUCGAGAGAGGUAAGUGGAACUGCGAGUGUAGAGGUGAAAUUCGUAGAUAUUCGCAAGAACACCAGUGGCGAAGGCGGCUUACUGGCUCGAAACUGACGCUGAGGCGCGAAAGCGUGGGGAGCAAACAGGAUUAGAUACCCCAGUAGUCCCUGUCUCUUAUAC